rnacentral:lncRNA from 1 species
AUGAGGAACUUGAUUUUCAUAUGCAUGUGGGCACAGGAGCAAGUCCGUGAACAGGUCAGUACUUCCGUACAGCAGAGAGACGAACUUGACUCCCGGAAAAAUGAGGGCACAGGAGCAAGUCCGUGAACAGGUCAGUACUUCCGUACAGCAGAGAGACGAACUUGACUCCCGGAUAAAUGUGAUAUUUUAUCACUUAUUUGAUUUGGACAUGUGAUUGUUUAUCACUUAUUGAGGUCGAAUGCAGUAUGCAAUAUGUACACGUAUGUAUAGUAUCAUGGAAGAUCUAGACUUGCGUCCCCGUUAUUUUUCGGUAAAAGAUAUAACCAUGAUACCCAGAUGAUAAGCAGCAUAAAGACCGAAUAUCUCAGAACCUCGGCAAUCUAUCAAACGAAAUUUCGGUACUAAGACCAUAUGCCAAUGAAUGGUUCCCACCUGGUCUUCAGUCGAUUAAGAUUUAUAUCACCCUGCACACUUUAAAAUGAUUGUGAGCCUACCGAUACAUCUUAUAUAGAGCUGCUUAUCGUUUUUCAUUUAAGGUUUAAAGAGGUUUGGAUAGACCACUGAUGUACUAUCACUUUCUCUUUUGCUCGCCAGGAAACUCAUUUUUGUUUUUCUAUUGUUUUUGUGUUUUUGAAAUUUUUCGAUGUUUUUGGAUU